UACGUAGGGACCAAGCGUUGUCCGGAAUCAUUGGGCGUAAAGAGCGUGUAGGCGGCCAGACAGGUCCGUUGUGAAAACUCGAGGCUCAACCUCGAGACGCCGAUGGAAACCGUCUGGCUAGAGUCCGGAAGAGGAGAGUGGAAUUCCUGGUGUAGCGGUGAAAUGCGCAGAUAUCAGGAAGAACACCCGUGGCUAAGGCGGCUCUCUAGUACGGUACUGACGCUGAGACGCGAAAGCGUGGGGAGCGAACAGG
rnacentral:rRNA from 1 species